UUGAAAUUAAUCAGACCAUAAUUGUAACACAAUUGAUAGAUUAAUUUUCAACAUGGUUAAACUUUAAAUUACAAAUACCUAAAGCUCCAAUUCUAAUUCAGCCCAACCGGCCCAACAAAACAACAGCUUAUCCCACCAGCCCAACAAAUCUUCACUGACCCGAUCCACCUUUAUUGCUUCUUUACCAGUGUACAACACAACAAACAACAACCACAAACGGCGUACAACAGUAACAGCAACAAACGACGACAUCAACAAAACCCUAGCCGCCUCUCUUUUGUUUACCGUUUUACCCUCGCGUUCAGCCAUUUUUUGCUAGAAUUUUAUCAUCUUUUCUCUUGAUCUGGCUACACUUGUGUAUUCUUGGCAAAAUCUCACCAACACAGUAGAGCGUGAAUUUGCAUUAAUGGUAGCAGCUCGUUUUGGUCUCCUUUAUUCUUCUUUUCAUCUUCCCAUUUUGAUUUUACUAUCAAUUUCAUACAAAUUACAGGUUGUAUAUUGUCAGAUUGAGGAUUUUAAAAAUCCCUAUAUUUUUUCUUUACAAACAUUUCAAAUCCGGAAAGCCCCUAAUUUCUUCGAUAAAUAGAUGGAGCAGAAUAGAGGUAAGAGAGGAGUAUUUUUUGGGGAAAAACUUGGAGAUUCUGGACGCACAUGCUUCUAAUCUCACGUAACCAAAAUUCUCGAAGAACAUUAAAAAAAGCAAAUUCAAUGACCUCAUUUUGAAAUCCAUUGAUUAGAAUCAAAUUGUGGUGGCGGAAGUCCGUCGUCAAAGCUCGUUUGUCUCAAUUCGCUGCUCUAAAAAAGAUAUACACAAAUAUACGGGACUUACAGGUCAGAUAUUGCUGGUAUACUCCAGUGUAUGGCGUAUAACAACAUUAUAGGCGAGGAUAUUUGUUUUUAAACACGGAUAUACAAUGUGUAUGCGAAAAAUGCAGCAGUAGCAAGUCUGAUAUACCAUCAAUAUACAGCUGGGUAUACACUGCAGAAAUGGACCAAAAGUCCAUAAAGAAUAGGCCUAAAGCUGGCCAGAUUUGAAAAGGGCCCAAUCUUAACUCUUCUCUCUUUAGUUUCCAUUUUAACUUGUUAUUUGUAUUUAUUUGUACACUUUAAUUAAUUAAUCUAGAUAAAUUCUCUUA